CCCUUAGACGUUCUGGGCCGCACGCGCGCUACACUGACCAGUGCAACAAGCAUCCGUCCUUGGCCGACAGGCUCGGGCAAUCUUUGAACGCUGGUCGUGAUGGGGAUAGACUUUUGCAAUUUUUGGUCUUCAACGAGGAAUUCCUAGUAAACGCAAGUCAUCAACUUGCAUUGAUUACGUCCCUGCCCUUUGUACACACCGCCCGUCGCACCUACCGAUUGAGUGGUCCGGUGAAGCCUCCGGAUUGGCGCGCACCUCGGUGCCGCCGAGAAGUUGGCUAAACCUUACCAUUUAGAGGAAGGUGAAGUCGUAACA
rnacentral:rRNA from 1 species